GUGAGUGAUGAAGGCUUUCGGGUCGUAAAACUCUGUUGUUAGGGAAGAACAAGUGCUAGUUGAAUAAGCUGGCACCUUGACGGUACCUAACCAGAAAGCCACGGCUAACUACGUGCCAGCAGCCGCGGUAAUACGUAGGUGGCAAGCGUUAUCCGGAAUUAUUGGGCGUAAAGCGCGCGCAGGUGGUUUCUUAAGUCUGAUGUGAAAGCCCACGGCUCAACCGUGGAGGGUCAUUGGAAACUGGGAGACUUGAGUGCAGAAGAGGAAAGUGGAAUUCCAUGUGUAGCGGUGAAAUGCGUAGAGAUAUGGA
rnacentral:rRNA from 2 species